rnacentral:rRNA from 1 species
UACGUAGGGUGCAAGCGUUAUUCGGAAUUAUUGGGCGUAAAGGGCGCGUAGGCGGCCUUGUAAGUCUUGGGUGAGAUCCCUCAGCUCAACUGAGGAACUGCCUCGGAUACUGCAGGGCUUGAGGCCGGGAGAGGGUAGUGGAAUUCCCAGUGUAGCGGUGAAAUGCGUAGAUAUUGGGAGGAACACCGGUGGCGAAGGCGGCUACCUGGACCGGUUCUGACGCUGAUGCGCGAAAGCGUGGGUAGCAAACAGG